GCCACGGCCACGCCACCCCGAGCGCGCCGCAUCCCGUCUGGCUCGGAAGCCAGGCAGGGUCGGGCCUGCCUAGUACUCGGACGGAGACCGCUGGGGACACCGGGCGCUGGAGGCU
rnacentral:rRNA from 1 species